rnacentral:rRNA from 1 species
UUAUGAGAGUUUGAUCCUGGCUCAGGACGAACGCUGGCGGCGUGCCUAAUACAUGCAAGUCGAACGCUUUUUCUUUCACCGGAGCUUGCUCCACCGAAAGAAAAAGAGUGGCGAACGGGUGAGUAACACGUGGGUAACCUGCCCAUCAGAAGGGGAUAACACUUGGAAACAGGUGCUAAUACCGUAUAACACUAUUUUCCGCAUGGAAGAAAGUUGAAAGGCGCUUUUGCGUCACUGAUGGAUGGACCCGCGGUGCAUUAGCUAGUUGGUGAGGUAACGGCUCACCAAGGCAACGAUGCAUAGCCGACCUGAGAGGGUGAUCGGCCACACUGGGACUGAGACACGGCCCAGACUCCUACGGGAGGCAGCAGUAGGGAAUCUUCGGCAAUGGACGAAAGUCUGACCGAGCAACGCCGCGUGAGUGAAGAAGGUUUUCGGAUCGUAAAACUCUGUUGUUAGAGAAGAACAAGGAUGAGA